GAGUUUGAUCCUGGCUCAGGACGAACGCUAGCGACGUGCCUAAGAAAUGCAAGUCGAACGGGGGGAGCAAUCCCCUAGUGGCGAACGGUCGCGUAACACGUGGGCAACCUGCCCUGAAGCGGGGGACAACGGGGGGAAACUUCCGCUAAUACCGCAUGUGAAUUGCUCCGGCAUCGGAGCGGAUUCAAAGCCGCAAGGCACUUCAGGAUGGGCCCGCGGCCUAUCAGCUAGUUGGUGAGGUAACGGCCCACCAAGGCGACGACGGGUAGCUGGUCUGAGAGGACGAUCAGCCGGAUUGGGACUGAGAUACGGCCCAGACUCCUACGGGGGGCAGCAAUUAGGAAUCUUGCGCAAUGGGCGAAAGCCUGACGCAGCGACGUCGCGUGAAGGAUGAAAUCUUUCGGGAUGUAAACUUCUUUUAUCGGGGAAGAAAAAAAUGACGGUACCCGGUGAAUAAGCCCCGGCUAACUACGUGCCAGCAGCCGCGGUAAUACG
rnacentral:rRNA from 1 species